UGUGUAGGCGGUUCUCUAAGUUCGGUGUGAAAUCUCCUGGCUUAACCGGGAGGGUGCGCCGAAAACUGGAGGGCUUGAGUAUGGGAGAGGAAAGCGGAAUUCCUGGUGUAGCGGUGAAAUGCGUAGAUAUCAGGAGGAACACCUGCGGUGUAGACAGCUUUCUGGACCAUCACUGACGCUGAGACACGAAAGCGUGGGUAGCAAACAGGAUUAGAUACCCUGGUAGUCCACGCCCUAAACGAUGCAUACUUGGUGUGAGCCGUUCAUUCGGUUCGUGCCGGAGCUAACGCGUUAAGUAUGCCGCCUGGGGAGUACGGUCGCAAGGCUGAA
rnacentral:rRNA from 1 species